rnacentral:lncRNA from 1 species
CCAGUGCCCGCAGCGCCCUCCUGUCCCACCGCCCACCCCCCGCGUCCUACCUUGGUGUCCCCCGGGGCUGUACAUCCGGAGACAGCUGAAGGGAGAAGCAGAAGGGUCUGCUACGUGGACUGCACCUUGAUAUUGUAGAUCUAAACAGCUAAAAGGAAGAUGGAACCGAGAGGUGAGAAAUGGGCUCAUGGGGGGGGGGGGGAGACCUUUAGGAAUUCCUGAAGGAAUUGCUCAAUCUAUUGUGCUUUCCCCAAAUAAAAGGCAUCAUCUGCAGGGGCCAAGUUACUCAGUGCCCAUUUUCUGGAACCAGGUUCCCACCUCCCCUCUGCACCAGGCCCCGUGACUGGGGCACUUCUUUGAGAGUGUACGCCCCAAAUGAGAAGACAAGCCCCCUGCAGAAAACUCUGGGGCUCAAGCAAGUGCUGGACACAGAAGAAAAAUCCAGAAUCGGCCACGUGGUGCAGGUGAACUCAGGACAGCUGUUCUCUAGAAACACUACAGCAGUGGUGUGUGGGCCGGAAGUGCUUGAGCGUGCAUGGGGCCUCUCUGGGGCCUCAGGGUCUCAGGGCGGCAGGAAGGUGUGGACAGGCCUGUCCCGGAGGCACCACUGCCUCAAUCAGCGAGCUGAUAAACACGCCUCAUGUUUCCCGAGAGCUUCCCUCUCUGUCGUGACUGGUGUGGUUCACAGAGAACAAGUCAUGUGGACUCCACGAAGACUCUGCCCUAUUAUAAACGAUAAGUUGAUCUCGUUAUUACCCGACUUCACCCCCCGUGGUGGUAAACAGAUCACCACGUUUAUGCUGGCACAUGAGAGACAGGAUUAUUUGCUUUUGUUCUCUACAAGAGGCCUUCUUUUCUUCUCGGAAUUAGAAUGGCACACAAACCCCACUGACCCCCGCAGCCUGCCUGUGGGAUUACAUCCUGCUCCUUCGUAUUUCGAGUCUGGUCUGGGAAACAAAGGUCAGACCCAAGUAGGUGGGGCGGGGGCGGGGGUGGAGGUUGACAGGGAUUCCAUGCUGAGAGAGAGACGGAAUGCAGGGCCCAUCUGUCUGCCAACCGGAGGGUUUUCCUCUCUAUCAACAGUGUAUUAACUUGUUCUGCACAGAAAAAAUGUAAAUUGUUCAUAAUUAAAAGACACACAUUGGACACUGAGAAUUAAUAGGAAAAACAUGAAUUUGUUAACA